rnacentral:rRNA from 1 species
UGGGGAAUAUUGGACAAUGGGCGAAAGCCUGAUCCAGCCAUGCCGCGUGUGUGAAGAAGGUCUUCGGUUUGUAACGCACUUUAAGUUGGGAGGAAGGGCAGUAAGCGAAUACCUUGCUGUUUUGACGUUACCGACAGAAUAAGCACCGGCUAACUCUGUGCCAGCAGUCGCGGUAAUACAGAGGGUGCAAGCGUUAAUCGGAAUUACUGGGCGUAAAGCGCGCGUAGGUGGUUCGUUAAGUUGAAUGUGAAAACCCCGGGCUCAAACUGGGAACUGCAUCCAAAACUGGCGAGCUAGAGUAGGGCAGAGGGUGGUGGAAUUUCCUGUGUAGCGGUGAAAUGCGUAGAUAUAGGAAGGAACACCAGUGGCGAAGGCGACCACCUGGGCUCAUACUGACACUGAGGUGCGAAAGCGUGGGGAGCAAACAGG